CGGUCCUGCGCAACAGGAGCUGCGAACCGUGUCAGGUCGGGAACGAAGCAGCACUAAGCAAUCCUUCUGUGUGCCGCAGGGAAGCC
rnacentral:SRP_RNA from 1 species